rnacentral:sRNA from 1 species
AUGGCUGUCGUCAGCUCGUGUCGUGAGAUGUUGGGUUAAGUCCCGCAACGAGCGCAACCCUCGCCCUUAGUUGCCAUCAUUCAGUUGGGCACUCUAAGGGGACUGCCGGUGAUAAGCCGCGAGGAAGGUGGGGAUGACGUCAAGUCCUCAUGGCCCUUACAGGUUGGGCUACACACGUGCUACAAUGGCGGUGACAGUGGGACGCAAUGGAGCAAUCCUGCGCAAAUCUCAAAAAGCCGUCUCAGUUCGGAUUGCACUCUGCAACUCGAGUGCAUGAAGUUGGAAUCGCUAGUAAUCGCAGAUUAGCACGCUGCGGUGAAUACGUUCCCGGGCCUUGUACACACCGCCCGUCACACCGUGGGGGUUGGUUUUACCUGAAGACGGUGCGCUAACCGCAAGGGGGCAGCCGGCCACGGUAGGAUCAGCGACUGGGGUGAAGUCGUAACAAGGUAGCCGUAGGGGAACCUGCGGCUGGAUCACCUCCUUUCUAAGGAUGAUCCUUCAGAGCCUCCCUCACGAGACUCUAUCGGAUCUCUUAGAGACAUCAGGGCCAACCGGUUUCAGGAUCGGUUAGGUCCAUUGGCAGGACACCGCCGUCUUCUUUUCUCUUUCUUCAUGGACGAGCCCGUACCGCGCGCAUUCCAGUUGGUAUUCCAAAUGGGAAUGGUCGCGGGCGGUCGUUGGGCUUGUAGCUCAGUUGGUUAGAGCGCGCGCUUGAUAAGCGUGAGGUCGGAAGUUCGAGUCUUCCCAGGCCCACCACUUAAGGCGCGUAGCGUUUCGUAACCGGGGCCAUAGCUCAGUUGGGAGGGCGCCUGCUUUGCAAGCAGGAGGUCGUCGGUUCGAUCCCGUCUGGCUCCACCAGUCUUCGCCGCUCCGCGGCUUCGGCUAGGCAAGCCAGUACGUGCGAAGGCUGUCGCGCCGAAGCGCAGCGAAGACGGACCGGAAGCCACCAACAACACAACUCGUCCAUGCAUCGAAUUUGUAUCGCGUCGAUCCUCGAUCACGCGGUGCAGGUUGUCUGACAUCGUGAAGAGGAGAUCGAUCCGCAGUUGUACGCAGUGAUGAGCUGCGUCCGACACCCAUAUCCUAUAGGCGCGCUUGACCGCACGCCUCGCGGGUCGAUCUCGAAGCAAGCUGGUCUUUCUGUCAUUGCUCACACCGAACGAGCUUCCUUUUGCAAGAAGGGGUGUUCAUUCGGAAUCACCGCCGAGGUGAGUGGGCAUUGAUGAUGAGAGCGAUCAAGUGCCUUAAGGGCGUUCGGUGGAUGCCUUGGCGCUGAGAGGCUAUGAAGGACGUGCUACGCUGCGAUAAGUCACGGGGAGCUGCGAAGAAGCUUUGAUCCGUGAAUUUCCGAAUGGGGAAACCCG